GUACAGGGGCUGAUCUGCAAAUUCGUUCUCUGGUUUCUUAAUGGACCAAGCCAUUGGGCCAACUUUUGUCUAUUUUUUGGGCCAAAGAUCCCUUCAGCCUGCCGCAAAGCCCAGAGGCUACAUAUGGGCUGGCUUCUACUUAUCAAUCAAACAAACUCAACCAAAAGAGUGGGCUUUACCUCCCUAACCCAAACCAGAAACCCAAACAAAACAAAUUAAAUCCACUUUUACAAAUCCAAACAAAUAUUAUUGCCCACAACCUAAAUCCAAACUAUACCCAACAAGAUUAGCAAAUCAACUAAAAUUAUUAAGCCACAAUUAUGACCUAAAAUCAAGAAUUAAUCUAUCCAAAAAGGCACAUAAAAUAUGCAAACAAAUGAUUAAACUUAAAAGGAUAAAAUUAGUUCAAUUUUCCUAAAUUUUGGGCCAUAUCAGAAUAAGGGGGGCACUUGGGGGUUCAAUCACAACAAAAUAGGGACUUAAUUGGAAGAAUCAUGAAGACUUUGGGGUCGAAAUUAAAGAAAAGCAACGUCCAGGGGUCAAUUUAUGUUUAAAUCAUGACUUAAUUGAAUAAGAUCUGAAAGUUAUGUGGGCUUUAAUGUGAUUUCACCAAAGGUCUGGGGUCGAUUGCAAAAAUUCAGAAAUUUAUGCUCCAAACUUCGCGGGAGCUUUCUUCUUCCAGGCAAAUGAGAUGGAAACGUUUUUGCAACUUCGGAUACUUCAGAAAAUCUGACAAAUUUACACGGCAACAACAUCACAUCAUUAUGGAAUGCAAAAACAGCAAAAUUGAACAAAAUCAAUUUCAAAAAUUCAUGGCUUCUCUUUCUCUUCCCGACCAGCAAACUCAUGUAUUCUGGCCAGUUUUGAACUGUCCAGAGUCCCUCUUGAAUAGAAAAAGCGUGAAAUCUUCCCUUUUGGUUCCAGAUUUCUUUUCAGACAUUUUAUCGAACACUAAACGAGCAUGAAAACUUUCGGUAAAUUUUUGCUCUAUUGACUCAAGAACCCGCCCCCAAAAUUCCAUCAGCAACCCAAAAAGUACAGUCCAAUCGACCCAUAGCGCAUUUACAAUCAAAAACAAAAGAAAAUGGGCGGUCAAUCAAGAAAGCCGUAAAAACCAAUUCACAGAAACAUGCUUGGGGUUGGGGAUUUCCAGAAUUUGCAUUUGAAAGUAAGACUUACAGUGCGUCCUUGGCGAGGAUUUUUCAGGCGAUAAUAGCAAAUUGCAGCGGAGGCGGUGGAUAAUUUCGGUUGUGGCAGCGGCUGUGACCUUUCCUUGCUAUGGCUAUCGUUCGAAUCCUCCGAAGGAAACCCCUCCAAUUUCCAGAUUUCUCUCUGCUCUUGCUGAAACUCUCCUCUGUUUUUAGCCGAAAACUUUCCCCAAAAUUUCAGAUUCUUGCCCCUGUUCUGUUCUAUCCCCUGAAGCUCUCCACGAAUUUUCUUGUUCCCUCUUCCCUUUUUUCCUUCGCCGAUGUCUCCCUUGUUUCCUCCCUUCGGCCUUGCUUAGUCUUUCUCCCUUGUUCUUUUUCUUUUCCCUUUUCAGAUUUUUUUUGGUUCCUUUUCAUCUGCCGUUUCCUCUCACUCUCUCUGUCCGCCCCCUCUUUCUUUGUUUUUCUCGGCUUUAUUUUUUUGCUGAAACCUCUCUCGGCCCCCUCUGUUUUUGUUUCUCUUUUGCUUUCGUUUUUGCAGCCGUCAAUCCUUACCUCUCUCUCUAUCCCCAGACCUAGCCGUCACUCGACUCUCAAAAUCCUCUUCUCGGCUGCCUUUUCUUUUUGUUCUUUUUUCUGCCCAGAAAAACCCACCGCCUCCCAUUUCUGGUUUCUUUCUCGUUUCUUUUGCCGUCUCCCCCUUACCUCUCUCUCUCUCCUUCUCAGCUAAAACCUAGCCAACCCCUUCUAGAUUCAUCCUCCCCUCCAGGUGUCCUAGACACCUGGCCUCUUAUGCUAAAUUUUUACCCCUCCGAAGGACCUCCUGAAAUCUGGUUUUCAAGCUGCGGCAAAAACGCAGCUUUUAUGCCGCGUAUUGGCUACUUUUUUUUUUUAAAUUAGUAAUUUAAUUACAAAUAAUAAAAUUAAAACAAAAACAACAAUUUAAGUAAUAUCAAACAAAAAUAAACAAUCAAAAAUAAUAAACAACAAAGUUGUGAUUUUUCAAUUUCCAUUUUCAUCAUUUUUCACUUUUUUUUCCUUUGUCCUUCCAAGAAAGCAUUGGAUUUAAGUUACAAACAACUAAAUCGUAUUUUUUUGAAUGCUUUUCCCUUUCCUUUUUUUCCUUUUUUUUUCAAGAAAUUCUAUGCUAAAAACUUAAAAACAAAAAUAAAACUAGAAACUAAAACUAAAAAAACGAAUAAAACUAACACUACAAAUAAAAAACUAAAAAUAAAAAGUAAAUGAAAUUACACCAAAAAUUUGGUGUCUACAAUCAUUGUUCCUUGUUAGUUCUAAAUCCCAUUCCCCUUUGUAAGCUUACAUUGAUAUUCACGGCUGUUUUGUUACUCGAGUCUCUCUUUGCUGUCUUUUGUCCUCUAUAGCAGUCCAGUGGGGUUUGGUUUUCCUGUCAAACCCUUUGUUUAUAUAUAUCUGGUGGUUAAUGUUGUUGCGGAAAGCUUUCUACUCGAAAUUGAUUAUUGGAGCUGAUGUACCGUAGCCUAGCUGAGAACUCAAAUUGAUAAGAAUAAAGUGAAUCAUUCUGAGCAAGCUUCCUUCCAUUUCUAUUUUUCUUUUCAUUUCUGUGUUUGUCAUUACAUUUUGAUGUUAAACUUGGAGAUUGAAUCCUUGUUGCUGUCAAAUUUUAUUGCUGUCAUGGGUGUUGGUCUUGGUUUGAGUUGUUCCAUGUCAAUGAGUUUUGAUUGGAAUGUAAAACUGCAGCAAGCAGGGCCGGUCUACCAUUGCAGAAAUGUUUCCCCCCAUCCUCUCGUUGUUUCUUUUCUUUUCUUUGCAUAUUUUGCUCCAAAAUUUCUGUUUAAACGCUAGUUGACUGAGUUGAUGUUGGCAAGUUAUGCUAGAGGAUUUGGAUGGCUUUGCUUGUUAGAGUCGCAGGUUAUGAGGAAAUGCAGCUAGUUUAGAAUUGCAGAAAAAUGUUAGUUAUAGAAACAAAAAUUCCUUCGCAGCUUGCAUGGUCUGCAUGGAAAAUCUCUGAAAAAUUUCCCUUUUGGCCCCCCAAGUCUCUCCUUGUUCCACUAGGACUCAAUCAAUUAAAUAAUUUCAUCAAUUUGGUCCUUGGUAAUUUUAAUUUGUGCAACUUCAUUGCUUGUUUGCUUCAAUUAACUACCAUGUUUUGUUUCAAUUGCGCUUAAGUCAUGACUUUAGAGGCUUUACGAUCAAGUGAGCUUUGUUUUGCACAUUUCUUUAAUUUUUCUUAAUAAAUUGGUACCUUGACCAUUUCUUUUAUUUUGGAGGAUAAAUAAGUGACUUCACCCCAUUAGAGCUCCAACUCAAGGGAGGUAUAACUUCUUUUAUCUUUUUUUUUUGUCUCUCCUAUGUGAUCCAACGUGCUACGUGAAAAUUGCAUGUCUACUUGCUUCCUUUGUUUUUCUUUAAUUCCUUUCAUUUACUUUUGCUUUUUAUUUAAAUUAUUCUUUAUGGGGUAUGUGUACACCUCUUGGCUUGUAAUAGAUAGGGUUUGGAAAGCACUUGAUGAAGACCUAUUGAAGACGUGUGCCUAGCUAGCAAAUGUAAUAGGUCCAUUAGCUUGAUUGCUUGCUUUUGUGGCUAUGUGUUAAUUUGCUUUAUUAGGCUUUUGCGUCUAGUCGAGCAUGCUAAGUGUUAUGUGCUACGUGUUUACGAGUGUUUGGCAUGUCUACUCGCUUUCCAUAGCCAUGAAUGAAUGUGAUGGAUGAAUGUAUGUUUCCACUAGUCCAACGCUAGUAGGAAUUCAUAGAAUGGGCUAGUCCAACGCUAGACCCAAUAGGCCGUCCCCCUUUUGUUAGUGCAUAUUUGCAUGUUCACUACAUUUCAUGCAUUUUUUCUUAGUUUUAUCAUUUGGCAUGCUCCUCGAACCCCUUUUCCCUUCAUUUUAGGAUUUUUGCACCUCAUGCUGGUUAUAGGGUACAUUUACUUGAAGAGUCCCCUUUCGAUAAGGGAAACGAGCGAGUGUGGCUACAAAAUAGCCUUAGCACGCUAGUUCUUCCUUCUAAUCAAAGGAAAAAUUAAAGUCACAAAGUUAGGACUCCCCGUUCCCGUCUUGAUGCAUUCCUAUAGGAUUCAUGCAUUUUACUCAUUCGCUAUCACAUACACUUCUACUUUAUAUUCUAACCCUCUUUCCACAUUCUCACUUCACACUACUUUAAAUUUGCACGUUUUCACUCAACUACUUACACUUUAUAAUAUCAAUCGCACACAUGCACUUUGUGUUAUCUCACAUACAUUUUCACAUUAUUACUUUACUCGCCUUAUCUUGUACAUCCAUUUGCACACUUCCACUUACACACUCUUGUUUUUAUCACUUUUUCAGUUCACACAAACUCACAUUUUCACAUGGCAUGCAUUCAUUUCACUCAUUUUUACGUCAUUUAGGAUUAUGUGUGACCUCUCCAAAGGAUCAUUAUUGGGCUUCACAAUUAAUGUGAUUGGCACCACUCAACCUUUGAAGAGAAAUUUCCCCCAUGUCCCCCUAGGUCUAGGUUUUUGCAUUCAUAUAGUCAUAUCCAACACGCGAUACAUACCUUGGGUAGAAAAAUUAGGAAACGUGGGGCUAAGUCACGCAACUAGCUCUUGCUAGGGUAGGGGAGUGCCUUAGGUUCCACCUUUGCCUUCUCCCUUACCAAAUGUGACCCCCGAUUCCUUUCUUUGGUUACGUAGAUCUAAAAGUUUUAAAAAGGGUUUUAUUUACUUUUUCGUUCAAAAAACAAAAAUCAUUUUUGGGUGACUUGGUACACCCUAACUCUAUACCAAGUGGCGACUCCGUUUUUCAUCCAAAGCCCUUUUUGAACUUUAUUUGACCAAACCGUCACAUUUCACAAUCGCACGGUCUUUUCUUUUCACUUUCACACACGUUCACUACUUCCACACACCACCAUCAAAAGUGGGGCGUGACAAAAACUUCAUUUGCCUUAAGAAAAAUAUGAAACUAAAUAUUCUUGAAAGACUCCCUUUUCAGCGUUUUUAGAUUGACCAAACUUAUUUUAGCUCAAUUAGAGUCCUAGUCAGCAGGUAAGAGCAUUUGGAGUGAUUUACACUGUAUCUCAUCUUUGUAAAUUACUUGAGCAAUAUGUUAAUAUUUGUUACCAUAGGGAAGCAUAUUUAAGGGCGUACAACUUCACAAUUGGUCAUAUUCCUUCGAAACAGUUUUGAGUGGAUAGCAAAAUGCAAUAUUUGAACCUAUCAUUGGUGCAAAAACAACAUAGUAGGCCAAAGAAGCAGAGGAAGAAAGGUUCAAAAGAGCCUACAAAUUAGCAGAAAGCAAGUAGGAAGGAUCUUGCAGUUUAUUGCUAAAGGUGUUUAAAAUCUGGACAUAACAUAAGAACUUGCAAAUUUGCAAUUCAUUCUAAGUCCAAACUUUACAAAGUAAUGUAACAUUUCAAAACCAAAUCAAUUCUUUACUUUGUUUUGUUGCUACUUAUACACUAAUUCAUUUUGGUUUGAACUAUAAGCACCUAAAGCUGGUCCAACAGCUUCAACUACAACAUCCAUAACUUCUGUAGCUCAAGCUAGUGUCUCAAGUACUAUUGCUACUACUCUUUCAUAGGUACUAGUUCUCAAUUGCCUAUUUUUGGGUGCUACGAUCUACUUACAUACUAACCUUGAGGACUUAUCUGCAGGAACCAAGUCAGCCUAUAAGAGAUGUCAACCAAGAAAGCUAGCAAAGUAGAUCCUCAAAGAGGAAGCAACUAGCUGCAAGGAUGUCAAGUCUAUGACAUUGUGGAUCCAAGAGACCAAGAAAAUGAACUGCAGUUAUCUCCCUUUUGUUGGUUGAAUAUACUGCUUGUGUUAACUAGAAAACUCAGAUUUUUUGCUAUGUUUUUGUUACCUGAUAUCAUUAUGGUAUGAAUGUGGCAAUAUGCUACUUUGUUGUGGCACUUGUGGUAGUAUUACUGGUGAACCUUUUUGGGAUUGGAUUGUAAUAUUUAUUGAAAUUAGAAAACUAAAAUUUUUGGCCAUGUUAUGGUAGGCUGAUACCAUUGUGGUAUGGUUGUGACAAUAUGCCGCGUUUUUUAAGUUGUGGAUGGUAGUAUUGCUGGUCAUAUCUUUGCUAAACAUGACUUAAUUUGACAAGUUCAUUGCAGUGAAAUCUCAGGUCUUUCAAUUAUUUUGUCAUGUAUUUUUUCGAUGUCUUGCAACAAAAGUAGUUUCAUUCAUUCUUCUUAAUUGAAACCUAAAUGUGUACUUCAUUACAUGCAAUUGAAGUCAGGAUGUGGCAAUAUAUUGGACAUGACAAAAUCUACUAUUGUACCCAACUCCCUUAUUUUCUACAUAUUUUUUACACUACAAUUUGUCCCAACUCCAGAUUCUACUACACUACUUUUACACUACAAUUUGCUAUUUGCAGAACUACAACUAUGGUAGGUUUCAUUUGUAAGAGACAUGGAAGGUAAAAUUGGAAUGAAAACUAGUAUCUUAUUCCAUAAAUGAAUCUCUUCCAGUCACAAGCGAUCAUUAGGUCGCAUCAAUGUCACUCGCUAGCUUCCCAAUUGGUCACUAACAUCCGAGUUGAUUAGCCAAUAAAAUCCAAAGAAGUCCAAAGCACAAGGGGGGUUAAGUGGGUAUUUCUAAACAAUGAGGGGGUUGCGUGUCCAUUUCCCUAACCACAUGGGUUUACUAUAUUUUAUCCAAAAGAAACAAAUGCAAUAUGUGAGUAACUACUUUUACCAUGUUUCCUUUGCAAAUCUAACAAAUGUAUGCACAUUCAUACACGUGUAUAUAUGGGAUGAGAUAAAAGUUGGUUCGGAUCAUCCGAACUGAAGACAUGUUCAGAUCCCAUGCCAAACGCAACACCUGUCUCCCUAUUGCAUUCAAAGACUAUUUUAACUAAAAACUUAUUUGCAUGUGUGGACAAAAACUUUGUCUACCAUCUAACGGACUUCUAAACCUCUUAAACGUUUUCCUAAGGUUCAUCCUCCAGAGAAAAGUGUUCUCUUUUCUCUCUCCCUCUCUCCCUUUUUUUGGUUUUCAUUAAAUUUAAAGGAAACAAUAUUUUGUUGUCAUUUUUUCUUUCCCAAAAAAACACAUGAAAAAAUUUAUAAAAAAUUUCUAAAUUUCACUAUAACUUGAACAGAAAUUUAAAAGGUAACACCAGAGUAUUAUUUUUACAUUGGAAACAAAAUUGUUCCUACUGCUUAUUUAAGACUAUUGCUUACUGGUUUUAUUAACUUAUUCUUAAAUUUCAUUUUAGAUGCCAAAUAUAAUUUCCUGUUUUGUAGAAAAUAAAAAAUCACCCAAUAGUUAUAGAUAAAUUGAGAAUAAUAGAAAAUUAAAGAUGUCAGUGGAGCACAUGACCGAAUUCUCUUUCCAAAAUAAUAGGUGUUUAACAAUUGUACACCAAAUACACAAAUUAAUCAAAAAGUCCCGUAUAGAGCUUGGGUCUCUAGCACAGCACUCCAACCUCUGGUAGUACACUUGUAAAUGUUUCAUUUGAAGCCUCAAUUAGAAGUUCCUAAUCAUGAUGAAAAAAAGAUAUCACAACAAUGCUAUCAAACAAAGCACUGACUACAUUCAGAAUAAGAGAACAAAAAUAGUACCUUACAUUAACUUGAGAAUUAAGUCGAGGAAGUCUCAAGGAUAGUCAGACCAAGUGCUCUUGUCCCUAUAUAGUUAACUAACAUUGAAGACAUAAAUAAACAAAGGCACAUCAACUUCUAUGAGUAAUGUAUCAUUUUCUAUACCUGAUUUAAAGUCAAUGAAGAAUUCAAGGUGGAUAAUCCACUACUUUCAUGAUCUCUGGACAAAAAAAAAACAAAAUUAAAAGUUAUAUUGAAAGAUACAAAGUAAUAAGAACAUAUAUAGAGAAGUCAUGUUAACCGUUUUUGUUUCUUGGCAGGACAACCAAUUUAUUGCGUCCCAACUCUAGACAAUUACUACAUUUCUUUUCUUCCCAAAUGGACUUUCUUUAGGAUGUUUCUCUCUCAAAGAUUUAGGGCAGCCUCUUGAAGUAACUUGAAUUGGAUUUUUCAACUCAAACGUAAUAUGGCUACUCACUUGAAGAUCAUUACUUUCUUGAACAACAUUAGUAGCCAAAUCACAUCCUAUUUGCUCUUCAUUCUUACUAUCCAUAGCUAAGAGAUCUCCACGAACCUUUUUACAGCCCAAUUAAGAUAAUUAUACUUUUCUCUUGAACCAUAUCCCAACUCCAAAACCUCUAAAAAUUCUAUUAUCAGAUUUUUUCUCAUGUAUGUAAAGGGUUCUUCUUCUAAGUUAACCCCAGGGACAUCCCAAAUAUCAUGAGUUUUAGCUUGAAUGGUCCAUCCAUCCAAGAUAUACUGUUUAGGGAAGGAAGCAACCAUAGAUUUUGUCACAAAUAUUGCGAGAAUAUGCCUGCACAGAAUUCCACAAAAUUCAAACAUAUGACAUGUGCAAGUAGCUUUAUUUUGUGAAAUAUCAAGAUUAACAACAUAGGCUGGAUUUUCCAUUCCAAUAUGCACUACAUUGUAUAUCUUUCUUGUUUCAUCAAUGCCAGACUUCGACCCCUUAUAAUUUUGGCUAAGAAAAAGUCCAUCCUGGAAUUUCAAAAACAUUUUUCUUGUGUAGAUUUUUGCUACCUCAACUUCAAUACCAUAACAAGUUUUCAUAAUGGGGUUAGAGUUCUUUGUCUUGACAUCUUUUUCCUUCUCUUUAAGAUAUCUUGAAUUCAGUGCCUUCUCAUAUUGAUAGACAAAAUCACUAACCAACAUACUAGAACGGACAAAACCCUUGAAAAAUUUAUUCAUACUUUCGCUUCUUUGUGUGGUAGACAUACCGGAGUACACCUACCCAUUGCAUAUAACCAAGUUCUAAGAAACCAUACAUAUGACUCAAAAGUUUCAUUCACAAGUAAGGCACAACCAAACAUAACUGAUUGAUAAUGGUGAUUCACUCCAGUAAAAAGGAACAAAAGGCAUGCCAUAACGAUUUGUCAAAUAUGUAGCAUCAAAAGUCACAGCAUCUCCAAAAUAUGUAUAAGCUAAUCUUGAUCUUGUGUUUGCCCAAAAGCAAUUCUGCAUACAUUUAUUUUUAUCUACUUCAAUGGCAUAAAAGAACCCUAGACUUUUAGCUUGAGUUUCUUGAAAAUACAUGUGCAUUCUCUGUGCAUCCCCUUCUUUAAGUAAUUUUUGCCUUUCAUUGCCUAAGUAGGAUUGAAUAUCAGAUGAAGUGCAACCAACAUUACUUUCACCACCACAUUUGCUCACCCAAGAAUGGCAUUAUUUUUCUUGUGGGCACACCAACUUCAUUAAGUAUAAUGACAAGACUUUUUUGAGUAGGUGUUAUAGUUCAAUGCCCACAGAGAAGCCACGUACUUCUCGGUGUUGUUAAAUCGUGGUUAUGUUGAUCGAAAAAUCUGCUCACUACCCACUUUUCUUCUUCAUUUAAUUUUAAACUCAUUAUAGCCUUGUAUCCUACUCUAGUUAUUGCAUGAACUACACCAGUUUGAUCGUCAUCCUUUUUUGUAGUUUUUCUUUUCCCUUCUCUUGAACAAACAUAAUCAACUCCAAUCAGUGUUUUAUCUUUACGGGAAUGUCGAGUGUGAUUCUUCCGUAUACUAAAACCUUUCCAAGCUGAAUAUGUCUUGUAACAUGCUUGAGCUUCAUCUAAAUUAUCAAACGUCAUGCCUUCACAAGGCUCACGAGGAAUGUUGCGCAAAUUUGGACCAUUAGAACACAAAAUUGAACCAUCAUUGCAAUCGGAAUCUUGAAUUCGACCUUCAAUUGAACCAUUAGAACACAAAUUCAAAUCAUCAUUGCAACCAAAAUUAAUCUCCAAUUCCAUCCUGUGACACAAAAAAAGUAUUUUAAAAAUUAACCAAAUUUGAAGACAAUGAAAACCGUUCCUAUAUUACUGGAGAAAUGGUUAAUCAGGAUUAAAAACAUUCCUAUUUUGCAUACUAUAUUUUACAACUUUUACUUACAAACACAUACAAAUAACAUAAGGGUUGCUUACAGUAUAAUACAAAAGUUUCAAAACCAACAAGAAAUAAACUUGUUUGCAUGAACACAUAAUGAUCAUACACCAAAAUCGAAACAUUUUGGUUCAUAAAAAAAUAUAUUUUGAACUUUUUUUUUUAUGGUUUUACGAAAGUAAAAACCCCCUACCCAUGGGUUUUACACAUAAAUUCCAAGAAUCUACAUGUUUCUGUUAAACUUUUGAGAUUUCUAUUGAGAUCUAAGUAAAAGAGUACAACAAUUCUUUUACCUAUUUGUCAUUGUUAAUCCUGUACUUUGGUUGUCGCUCAUCUUCUAUGCCCGACUUCAUAGUGAUAUUGGAACUGAUAUAAAAAAGUGUGGGUAUAAGAGAAGGUGAGAAAUAGUAAUAGUGAACGAAGUUUUGCUCCGUAUAAGAAAUGGUGAGAAAUAUAAAUAGUAACGAAAUUUUGCUCCAUCAAAAUAUUGGACCUGAUGUAAGAAAACCUUGGCCAAUUAAAGAGAUACGUGUCAGGUUUUAAUGGAAUUCGAACAAUUGCAAAGUUCGGAUGGAAUAAAUGCAAUUUGGGUAAAAAGGUUUGUUUGACAAGUCAAAUUCUAAACUUAUCAUGUUUCGACCUCCCAAUUAACACAAAAAAUUUCAUGAUUUAGCAAGGAAAACUCUAGUUUGAAUCCUGUUGCUAGUUUAGACUAAAUAACUGAAAGAGUUUGAAUCAUCCUUCACUCAGUAAAAACUUAUUGAAGUUUAGUUAACAAAUAAAUCAUGCCAAAUGUGAAUAUCAUUUCAAACCUAACUCUCUUGACUCCAAUAGCAUAAAACUUGAUAUUUUUUUUAUAAAAUAUCCGUAAUAUAAAUAAAUAGUCCAAAACUGAACACAAUUUUAACCUCCAUAAUAUAAACAAAAGAAUUUGAAAACUCGCACCAUUGUCUCGGACUUCUUGUAACAAUAACCUUUAUCUCCUACUAAAAAAGGAAUUUAGUAUAAAUAGUUUGACCAGGACAAAAAAUUUCCAAAAAUUGGUUGUGAUCUCGUACUACUAUUAAAAUUUUUAGCAUAGAUUGUUUGACCAGGACAAAAAUUUCCAACUAUUGGUUGUAUGCUUGUACUAUUUAUUAAAAGCACCAAACAAAAAAAGAAAGGGUUAAUUACAUUUACCUCCCCUGAAGUUUGACCAUAUUAUCAAUCAAUCCCUAUAAUUUGUCCAAAUAACGGUCUCACCCUUUGAAUGAUCAAACAUUUAACAAAAACCCCCUUAAUGCCAAAAAUGCCCUUAUUGAGGCCAUGUUGCAUUAAAAAAAGAACAUAUUUUUAUUUUAUUAACCUUGAAGCAAUCCAAAAAAAAUAGAAAAAAGUUUUUACUUAUUAUUUUAUAAAAACCAUAUAUUUGCUUCCAUAAAAUCAAUAAUUAUUUUAAAUCUUAAAAAUGAAUAUUAAAAAUUAGAUAAAUUGAAAGAAAAAUAAAAAAGAAGCAAUUAUUUUCAAUCCUCAAGUUUGGUUCGAAUUUGUGAUUCAAGGCAUGCUGCGGAGAGCACAAAGCAUGUUUUCCUCAAUUAGAACCAUACUUCAGGAAUUAAAAUAAUUUCUUCUUUUUUUUAUUUUUCUUUCAAUUUAUCUAAUUUUUAAUAUUCAUUUUUAAGAUUUAAAAUAAUUAUUGAUUCAAAACUAUUUAUGGAAGUAAAGAUAUGAUUUUUAUAAAAUAAUAAGCAAAAUUUUUUUCUAUUUUUUUGGAUUGCUUCAAGAUUAAUAAAAUAAAAAUAUGUUCUUUUUUUAAUGCAACAUGGCCUCAAUAAGGGCAUUUUCAGCAGUAAGUGGGUUUUUGUUAAAUGUUUGAUCAUUCAAAGGGUGAGACCGUUAUUUAGACAAAUUAUAGGGAUUGAUUGGUAAUAUGGUCAAACCUCAGGGGAGGUAAAUGUAAUUAACCCAAAAAGAAAAACGCAACAGAGCCCGUAGAGUUGAUGAAAUACGUAGCUCUUAAAAGUAGAAAUGCCAAUUUGGCGCCGAUGUUGUUGACUCGUUGGCCUUUUGCUACCUCUUCACUUUGGACUACGACUUGAUCAACAUCGCCAUCAGUCGGCGUUGGACCGUCGUCGUCAUCCUUAAGCUCCUCCUUUCCUCUUCCCCAAAAAUAUCUCCAUUCGUCUCAGUUUUACACAGUGAGUAUACUCGCACCUUUGAUAUUCUCUUCUCUGCAAUUUCAGUAUUUUUUAAUUUUUUGGUCUUAAUUGUGGCAUAAUCUUGUGGAUGAAUUUUAAUAUUCUAAGCUUAAGAGCUUCAUAUCUCCGAUUUUCUUUAUUUGUCAUAAUUUUAGCUUCACGUCUCAAGAACUCUCUUCAUUUCCAGAAUAUUCUGUUUCUUUAUGCUUUUCAUAGAAUUGUAUUUAUUUGUGAUGCUAUGAUUCUCGCAUGGAUUUCAAUUGUGGAAGCUUAAGAGCAUCUUCUAUUCUCUGCAAUUUCAGCACUUAUUGUUAUUAUUAUUUAUUUUUUUGGUCUUAAUUUUGGCAUGACCUCGUGGAUGAAUUUUAAUUUUCUAAGCUUAAGAACUUCAUGUUUCCGAAUUUUCUUUAUUUGCUGUAAUUUAGGCUUCUUGUCUGAAGAACUCUUUUCAUUUCCAGAAUUUUCUGUUUCUCUAUGCUUUUCUUAGAAUUGUUAUAUUUGUUAUGUUUUGAUUUUUGCGUGGAUUUCAAUUGUGGAACCUUAAGAGCUCUUUCUUUAAUUCCAUAAUGAUCAUUUCGUGUAUUUGCAAUCAUUAUGACUUAGAUUGUCUAAAUCACUCACUUUCCAGAUAAUUUUUUUGAACCCCCUGA
rnacentral:lncRNA from 1 species